UUUUAGAGUUUGAUUCCCAUGGCUCAGGACGAACGCUGGCGGCGUGCCUAAUACAUGCAAGUCGAGCGGAAUGAUGAAGAAGCUUGCUUCUUCUGAUUUUAGCGGCGGACGGGUGAGUAACACGUGGGCAACCUACCUUGUAGAUUGGGAUAACUCCGGGAAACCGGGGCUAAUACCGAAUAAUCCAUUUUGCUUCAUGGCAAGAUGUUGAAAGGCGGCUUCGGCUGUCACUACGAGAUGGGCCCGCGGCGUAUUAGCUAGUUGGUAGGGUAAUGGCCUACCAAGGCGACGAUACGUAGCCGACCUGAGAGGGUGAUCGGCCACACUGGGACUGAGACACGGCCCAGACUCCUACGGGAGGCAGCAGUAGGGAAUCUUCCACAAUGGACGAAAGUCUGAUGGAGCAACGCCGCGUGAGUGAAGAAGGUUUUCGGAUCGUAAAACUCUGUUGUAAGGGA
rnacentral:rRNA from 1 species